ACUUGACCUCAAAUCAGGUAGGACYACCCGCUGAACUUAA
rnacentral:rRNA from 1 species